rnacentral:rRNA from 1 species
AUUGAACGCUGGCGGCAUGCCUUACACAUGCAAGUCGAACGGCAGCGCGGACUUCGGUCUGGCGGCGAGUGGCGAACGGGUGAGUAAUACAUCGGAACGUACCCUGUUGUGGGGGAUAACUAGUCGAAAGAUUAGCUAAUACCGCAUACGACCUGAGGGUGAAAGUGGGGGACCGCAAGGCCUCACGCAGCAGGAGCGGCCGAUGUCUGAUUAGCUAGUUGGUGGGGUAAAGGCCCACCAAGGCGACGAUCAGUAGCUGGUCUGAGAGGACGAUAAGCCCAACUGGGGCUGAGAGAGGGCCCGGACUCCUACGGGAGGCAGCAGUGGGGAAUUUUGGACAAUGGGGGCAACCCUGAUCCAGCAAUGCCGCGUGUGUGAAGAAGGCCUUCGGGUUGUAAAGCACUUUUGUCCGGAAAGAAAUCGCGCUGGUUAAUACCUGGCGUGGAUGACGGUACCGGAAGAAUAAGCACCGGCUAACUACGUGCCAGCAGCCGCGGUAA